ACGCGAGUGGAUGCCAAUCCCUAAAACCCCUCUCAGUUCGGACUGGAGUCUGCAACCCGACUCCACGAAGCUGGAUUCGCUAGUAAUCGCGCAUCAGCCACGGCGCGGUGAAUACGUUCCCGGGCCUUGUACACACCGCCCGUCAAGCCAUGGGAGCCGGGGGGUACCUGAAGUGCGUAACCGCGAGGAUCGCCCUAGGGUAAAACUGGUGACUGGGGCUAAGUCGUAACAAGGUAAC
rnacentral:rRNA from 1 species